CGAAAGUCAGAGGUUCGAAGGCGAUCAGAUACCGCCCUAGUUCUGACCGUAAACGAUGCCACCUGACGAUCCGCCAGGGUUACUACCAUGACUCGGCGGGCAGCCCCCGGGAAACCCAAGCCUUCGGGUUCCGGGGGAAGUAUGGUUGCAAAGCUGAAACUUAAAGGAAUUGACGGAAGGGCACCACCAGGAGUGGAGCCUGCGGCUUAAUUUGACUCAACACGGGGAACCUCACCCGGCCCGGACACCGCGAGGAUUGACAGAUUGAGAGCUCUUUCUCGAUUCGGUGGGUGGUGGUGCAUGGCCGUUCUUAGUUGGUGGAGCGAUUUGUCUGGUUAAUUCCGAUAACGAACGAGACUCUAGCCGGUUAAGUAGCCCGAGCGGUUUUUGAUCUUUGCCGUCCGUUCCCCCGUCCUCGGCUGGGAGGGGGGGUCAUCCGACCGUUCGCGCCUCCGUGGCGUGUGGCGGGAGGGGAAACCCUUUUUUCUUUUGUCGAGACGGGGGCGGAGCAUAACCGAAGGCCGCCGGCUUUUAAGGAAGCUUCUUAGAGGGACGAGCGGCGUUCAGCCGCCCGAGAUUGA
rnacentral:rRNA from 1 species